CCCUGCGCUUUGCAGUUUGCCUUCGAAGCACACACACACACACAACCCCCCCCGCAGCUCCUGGAUUCACCCCAGGCGUGCCCCCGGCACGGGCAGGCAAGUCCAGGCAGCCGGGAAUAAGAGGGUCACGCGAGCGUGCAUCGCACGCGCGCGUGCAUACACAUGUGCGCACGUACAUAGGGGCAUAACCCGCACGGGCAUUUCCAAAACCAGCCGGCGUGCAAAAGUUUUGGCUGAGAAAGCGAGCUGGCCGGGGGAAGCGAGCGGAGGCGAGCAGAAGCGAGCGGAGGCGAGCGGGAGCCCGGCGAGGCACCGGCGCUCCCCGAAAGGCAGCAGCAAACCCUCAUCGCUGGCCACGGAGGGAGGGGGCCCGUGGCAUCGGGCUGCAAUAGGUGGAAGUGAUUGACUCACUAUGAGACUGCUGUUUUUGCCUCUGACUUGAGAUUAAGACGGAGCUGGAGAAGCGGAGGAGCUGUCGCGCCGGCUCUCUGGCAGGCAGACGCCGGAGCCGUCACUUACCUCUCACUGCAUCCAGCCCCCCCGGCCGUGGGGCUGCGGGUCCUGGAGAGUUAGCUGGCGGGGGACCCCAGAUCCACUCGGGUUUCUCCCAGGACCGACGUUCGGCUGCUGCUUCUUAGGCACAGACCCAACCCCUCCAUUCCAACCACAGGGGAAAAAAAAAAAUCUUCUUCCAA